UACAGAGGUCCCAAGCGUUGUUCGGAUUCACUGGGCGUAAAGGGUGCGUAGGCGGUUGGGUAAGUCUGUCGUGAAAUCUCCGAGCCUAACUCGGAAACUGCGUCGGAUACUAUUCAACUCGAGGAAUGGAGGGGAGACUGGAAUUCUCGGUGUAGCAGUGAAAUGCGUAGAUAUCGAGAGGAACACCAGUGGCGAAGGCGAGUCUCUGGACAUUUCCUGACGCUGAGGCACGAAAGCUAGGGGAGCAAACAGG
rnacentral:rRNA from 1 species